AAUGAACGCUGGCGGCGCGCCUAAUACAUGCAAGUCGAGCGAGAAGACGUAGCAAUACGUUUGUAAAGCGGCGAACGGGUGAGGAAUACAUGGGUAACCUACCCUCGAGUGGGGAAUAACUAGCCGAAAGGUUAGCUAAUACCGCGUACGCUUCUUGGACUUCGGUUCAGGGAGGAAAGCGAUACCGUGGGUAUCGCGCUCUU
rnacentral:rRNA from 1 species